rnacentral:rRNA from 1 species
UACAGAGGUCCCAAGCGUUGUUCGGAUUCACUGGGCGUAAAGGGUGCGUAGGUGGCAGGGUAAGUUUGAUGUGAAAUCUCCGGGCUUAACCCGGAAACUGCAUUGAAUACUAUCCUGCUCGAGGUUUGGAGGGGGGACUGGAAUUCUCGGUGUAGCAGUGGAAUGCGUAGAUAUCGAGAGGAACACCAGUGGCGAAGGCGAGUCCCUGGACAACACCUGACACUGAGGCACGAAAGCUAGGGGAGCAAACAGG